rnacentral:rRNA from 1 species
CGAUGGGGAUGCGUUCCAUUAGAUAGUAGGCGGGGUAACGGCCCACCUAGUCAACGAUGGAUAGGGGUUCUGAGAGGAAGGUCCCCCACAUUGGAACUGAGACACGGUCCAAACUCCUACGGGAGGCAGCAGUGAGGAAUAUUGGUCAAUGGGCGAUGGCCUGAACCAGCCAAGUAGCGUGAAGGAUGACUGCCCUAUGGGUUGUAAACUUCUUUUAUAAAGGAAUAAAGUCGGGUAUGCAUACCCGUUUGCAUGUACUUUAUGAAUAAGGAUCGGCUAACUCCGUGCCAGCAGCCGCGGUAAUACGGAGGAUCCGAGCGUUAUCCGGAUUUAUUGGGUUUAAAGGGAGCGUAGAUGGAUGUUUAAGUCAGUUGUGAAAGUUUGCGGCUCAACCGUAAAAUUGCAGUUGAUACUGGAUGUCUUGAGUGCAGUUGAGGCAGGCGGAAUUCGUGGUGUAGCGGUGAAAUGCUUAGAUAUCACGAAGAACUCCGAUUGCGAAGGCAGCCUGCUAAGCUGCAACUGACAUUGAGGCUCGAAAGUGUGGGUAUCAAACAGGAUUAGAUACCCUGGUAGUCCACACGGUAAACGAUGAAUACUCGCUGUUUGCGAUAUACGGCAAGCGGCCAAGCGAAAGCGUUAAGUAUUCCACCUGGGGAGUACGCCGGCAACGGUGAAACUCAAAGGAAUUGACGGGGGCCCGCACAAGCGGAGGAACAUGUGGUUUAAUUCGAUGAUACGCGAGGAACCUUACCCGGGCUUAAAUUGCACUCGAAUGAUCCGGAAACGGUUCAGCUAGCAAUAGCGAGUGUGAAGGUGCUGCAUGGUUGUCGUCAGCUCGUGCCGUGAGGUGUCGGCUUAAGUGCCAUAACGAGCGCAACCCUUGUUGUCAGUUACUAACAGGUGAUGCUGAGGACUCUGACAAGACUGCCAUCGUAAGAUGUGAGGAAGGUGGGGAUGACGUCAAAUCAGCACGGCCCUUACGUCCGGGGCUACACACGUGUUACAAUGGGGGGUACAGAGGGCCGCUACCACGCGAGUGGAUGCCAAUCCCUAAAACCCCUCUCAGUUCGGACUGGAGUCUGCAACCCGACUCCACGAAGCUGGAUUCGCUAGUAAUCGCGCAUCAGCCACGGCGCGGUGAAUACGUUCCCGGGCCUUGUACACACCGCCCGUCAAGCCAUGGGAGCCGGGGGUACCUGAAGUGCGUAACCGCGAGGAUCGCCCUAGGGUAAAACUGGUGACUGGGGCUAAGUCG